GCCGGUCAAUACUGGGUCAGAACACUACAGCUGGAGAACCUAGAGAACCAGAGCCCAUGGGAGAGUCCAGCAGCUUCUGGAGACCAUCACUAAAGAUUCUUCCAACAUCUCAGAGCAGAAAUCCACAGACUCCUCCAGCUCCUCCUCUCCGCUUAGAUCCAGCUGGACUUGUGUUUGCUGCCUCUUCAGUCUGGAUCCUCAUGUUUACGUCCAUCUGAAGCCAACAUUAGAACCCUUCUUCUCCUUUAAAACCACUUGAAUCAUGGUGAGACGCUGCUCAGACUGCUCUGGUGUUCCUCCUCCUCCUCCUUAAACAGCAGAUCCUCUGUUACUGUUGCUAAGAUGAAGCAGUCAUGUCUGGGGAAAUGAGCUGCUGACGGUGGAACAGACCAGAAGGAAAAGGGUGACUAAAGCUGCACAAAAACGACAGUAACUGAGCUCCUAGUUCAGAUGUUUGCAGUAAACAGUCACAUUUUUCUUAGAGAACAACAUGAAAUCGAUAUUGCAGUGAACAAACCAACCUUUAAUUCAACACUAGGAGCCACAAAACAGAUUUAUGACACAACAAAGUGUUCUGGUGUAAAACAGAUAAAACUUCACAUUACAGGACAGUUUAAAUCAUUUUAAAUUACUGACAUGCAGAAAAGCAAACUAGAGCAACAUCACUGAAAUGUCAAAUAAUUCAAAAACUAUUACACCUUAAAGUAAUCAGAUUACUUCUAAGUACAACACAGUUUGUUCUGAUGUGAAAUUAAAAUCUAACAGUUUUGAUUUAUUAUAUUAAUCCUCCUGUUGUCUUCAUUUA